rnacentral:lncRNA from 10 species
AGUCCCUGGUGCUAAAAAGGUUAGGGACCAGGUCUGUGGAAAAAAUGUCUUCCACAAAACCAGUCCCUGGUGCUAAAAAGGUUGGGGACCACUGCUCUACUUAACACUUUCACUAGGAUCCCUUAAAGAGAGGACUAAAUAAUCAUCACAAUAACUUUCCUUUCUGUUUAUAAAGAAUAGAUACCAAUUAGAACAAAUACCUGAGAAAAAUGUGGUACUGUGUUGCAGUCACACAGUCUUCAUCUUCUGCUAUAUAAGCAGUGGUUUGUUACCCUUUUCCCUCCUGUAAGCUGCUUUCACGAGUCAACCCUGACCACCAAUAUGGGAACUCAGGUAAUGAUAAUAGCCAUGACUUAUUGAGAACUUACUGAAUAAUAAGACUUUUGCAUACAUUAUGGUGGCCAGCUAAGAGCUGUCUCCUCAAACCCAUUUGCCCCCUCUUCACCGUAGUGAGCUGUCACCAUGGGUGCGCAGCUGCUCCAGGCACAGACAGGGAGCCCCAUGCAGUGGAUGACAGAGCUGUCCCACCUGCCAGGGUCCUUGAAUGGUCUCGUGGCACAGAUCCUGCUGUGGGCAGUUACUGGAGAGGCAUAAACUUCCAUUUGAGGAAUCUGUUUGAUUGGGCACUUUAGUCAAACACCAACUAAUAUAAUUACCUCAGCUAAUCCCUAAAAAACACAGGGGAACUAAGAUGUAAGUACCACCUACCUCAUUGAGUUACUGUAAGGAUGAGAAACUGCAUGCAGAGUCCUCAUAUACACAUUUUCACUACUCCUAUUUGAAAACAUUUGUACUAUUAUUAGCCCCAUUUUACAGAUAAGAAAGUGGUAAAUAAAAUGCUCAAGACCGUAUAGUUAAUGUGUGGUAGCGCCAGAGUGGGAACUUAGACAUCCAGCCUUAAAACUGAUCUUUUAACCUCUGUGCUAUUCUGCUUCCAGAAGGAUGAAAUGAGAUCAUACAUAAAGAGCUUGGCCCAGCUGAGGAGCCGUCACCUAACCGUGCUCAGGAGUGCAUCAUGGUUGAGAGUGUGGGCUGUGGAGGUGAUGGGCAUCCAAUGGCAUCCAAUUCUGCCCUGCUAGUAUUAGAUUUGUGCUUAGGCAGAAACCUUGGUUUUCUCAUCUGUGAAAAGAGGGUGAUACUACCAACCUUAUAAGGCUGUAGUGAAGAUUAAAGGAAGUAACAUGUACCAACGGCUUAUGACCGAGCCAGGCACAAGGCAGCGUUCAAUGAUGCAAGCAGAGGAAGAAGGGAACAGCUGGGGCUUCCUGCCCGUUUCCUCUGUCCUAACAGCUCCUUUUUGCAGACACUGGGAAUCAAAACCAAAACGCAUGCAACCUUCCACCUUGAAGAACAGCACCACAUCAUCUCUUUGCUAAGCCUGAUUCCCGUUUUCUGGAUAGGAAACUGACACACAAAGUAUCUCCAGAAUCAUAUCAGAGGGUCCCGGUGAACAUCAAAUGAAGAACUAUGUGUAAGCGCCAGGUACAGUGUACCUGGCACGUAUUAGGUUUUAAUAAACGGCAACCAACUCUGACUAACGGUUGUCCCUGGGGAACACCUGCCAGGCACAGAGGGAGGCCCUACGGAGGCGCAGGGCAGAACUGGGCAGCAGCCGUCUAGGGAAGUGGCGGCGGAUUAGAGAAACGGGCGGCCAGGCACAGGCACCCCCUACGAGUGAGAUCUGGCCCCUCGAGCCAGAUCUCCAGCCAGAUGCCUCCAGCAUCUGCUGCCGCGGAGAGCACGCACCAGGUCCCUCCUGCCCGGCAACAGGCGCACUCCGAGCGAGCCCAGCGCCUCUGCUCACCAUGCCAGGUCCCGCUGCCAGAGGCCUAGAGGAGAAGCCCAGCUAGGGGCCGGCGUCUGGACGCCCGUGUCCCGACUGCGCGGGAAAGAGUAAGAUCACAAGGAGCAGUGGCUCACACCUGUAAUUCCAGCACUUUGGGAGACUGAGGCGGGAGGAUCACUUGAGCCCAGGAGGUCAAGGCUGCAGUGAACUAUGAUUGUGCCACUUCACCCCAGCCUGGGUAACAGAGUGAGAUCCGACUAAAAAAAGAAAGAAAGAAAGAAAAAGACUCUGCACUCUGAUGGAUCCAGUGGCGCCACCCAGACCAGUAAACUGGCUCCUCUGGUCUUGUGGCCACCAUCCAGGAGCUGACUCAGAGCAAGAGGACAGCCUGGACUCCCUGUGAUUUCAUCCUCAACCCAACCAAUCAGCACUCCCCAUUCCCUAGCCCCCUGCCUGCAAGACUGUGUUUCAGGGAGGCUAAUGUGAGUAAUAAUAAAGCUUCAGUCUUCCAUUUAGCCUGCUCUAUGUGUAUUAAACUCUUCCAUUCAGCCAACUCUGCAC